ACUCCUACGGGAGGCAGCAGUGGGGAAUAUUGCACAAUGGGCGCAAGCCUGAUGCAGCCAUGCCGCGUGUAUGAAGAAGGCCUUCGGGUUGUAAAGUACUUUCAGCAGUGAGGAAGGCAGGUACGUUAAUAGCGUGCUUGUUUGACGUUAGCUGCAGAAGAAGCACCGGCUAACUCCGUGCCAGCAGCCGCGGUAAUACGGAGGGUGCGAGCGUUAAUCGGAAUUACUGGGCGUAAAGCGCAUGCAGGUGGUUUGUUAAGUCAGAUGUGAAAGCCCGGGGCUCAACCUCGGAAUUGCAUUUGAAACUGGCAGACUAGAGUACGUGUAGAGGGGGUAGAAUUUCAGGUGUAGCGGUGAAAUGCGUAGAGAUCUGAAGGAAUACCGGUGGCGAAGGCGGCCCCCUGGACAGAUACUGACACUCAG
rnacentral:rRNA from 1 species